ACUAACGCUAGCGGCGUGCAUUAGGUAUGCAAGUGGAACGAACCAGCUUCGGCUGGUGAGUCGCGAACGGCUGAGUAACACGUAAGAACUUACCCCUUGGUGUGGAAUACCCCCGCGAAAGCGGGGCUAAUACCGCAUGACACCUAACGGUGAAAGGAUUUAACUAUCCGCCGAGGGAAAGGCUUGCGGCCUAUCAGCUUGUUGGUGAGGUAAAAGCUCACCAAGGCUACGACGGGUAGGGGACGUGAGAGCGUGCACCCCCAGAAUGGCACUGAGAUACGGGCCAUACACCUACGGGUGGCGCAACCGGGAAUCGUGCGCAAUGGACGAAAGUCUGACGCCGCGACGCCGCGUGAGGGAUGAAGGUUUUUGGAUUGUAAACCUCUUUUGUUUCGAUCGAGAGAUCGGGAAGAAUAAGCAUCGGCUAACUUCGU
rnacentral:rRNA from 1 species